GUUGAGUAGUUCAGAGUUUGAUCCUGGCUCAGGAUUAACGCUGGCGGCAUGCCUAAUACAUGCAAGUCGAAUGGUAGCAAUACCAUGGCGAACGGGUGAGUAACACGUAGGUAACCUGCCUUUAAGACGAGGAUAACCGUUGGAAACGACGGAUAAUACUGGAUAGGACAACACAAAUCGCAUGAUAAGUUGUUUUAAAGGAGAAAUCCACUUAAGGAGGAGCCUGCGGCGCAUUAGCUAGUUGGUGGGGUAAAGGCCUACCAAGGCGAUGAUGCGUAGCCGGUCUGAGAGGACGAACGGCCACAUUGGGACUGAGACACGGCCCAA
rnacentral:rRNA from 1 species